rnacentral:sRNA from 1 species
GGCUCAGCAAAAUUAAAGGACCCACCCCUCUAAGAAGGUGAAGGAGGUAGAAUUGUAAAUACUUACCUAAUAGUGCAUGUGUGUGUAUUUCCCAUACCUAUUUUAUUCAUAAUAAAAGCCAUGGGUGAAAUUUUCAGUACGGUUUUUCUUUAUUACAGCUCAGUUCCCAGAAAUAAAAAUCCAUUCCAAGAGGCCAUUGUUUUUGUGGUGGGAGGAGGCAACUACAUUGAAUAUCAGAAUCUUGUUGACUACAUAAAGGUACAUUUUAUUUAGCCUUUUUAUUCUGUUGUUAGAUGGUUUCAUAGGUAGAACACUAGCAUACUCUGAUGGCUAUCCUGAUCCUUCUAUACUUCUUUUCUAAAAGGUAGUUUUAAAAUCAUGCAUAUAUGAUUUUAAAUGUUUAUUGUUUUCCUAUUCCUGUCACAUUCAUUUCUGGCCUAAAAUUGUACUUAAUCUAGAAAACAAUGUAUCUUAUUGAUAUAAUGCACUUUGCAGCUACCUGUCUUAAUAUAACUUCAAAUGCUUAGAGACCUCUUCCC